GAUGAACGCUGGCGGCGUGCUUAACACAUGCCAGUCGAACGAGAAGUGGAGACGGAAACCUUCGGGCGGAAGACUUUACUUCGAGUGGCGGACGGGGGAGUAACGCGUGGGUAACCUGCCUCAUACAGGGGGAUAACAGUUGUAAACGACUGUUAAUACCGCAUAAGACCACAGCACCGCAUGGUGCGGGGGUAAAAACUCCGGUGGUAUGAGAUGGACCCGCGUUCGAUUAGCCAGUUGGCGGGGUAACGGCCCACCAAAGCGACGAUCGAUAGCCGAUCUGAGAGGAUGACCGGCCACAUUGGGACUGAGACACGGCCCAAACUCCGACGGGAGGCAGCAGUGGGGAAUAUUGCACAAUGGGGGAAACCCUGAUGCAGCGACGCCGCGUGAGUGAAGAAGCAGUUCGGUAUGCAAAGUCCUAUCAGCAGGGAAGAAAAUGACAGUACCUGAGUAAGAAGCCCCGGCUAACUACGUG
rnacentral:rRNA from 1 species